rnacentral:tRNA from 1 species
UUAAUUAAAACCAAAAAGAGGUAUUUCAUUGUUAAUGAAAAAAAUGAUUAAAUAAUCUAAUUAAA